rnacentral:rRNA from 1 species
GAUGAACGCUGGCGGCGUUCCUAAUACAUGCAAGUCGAGCGAACGGACGAGAAGCUUGCUUCUCUGAUUUUAGCGGCGGACGGGUGAGUAAAACGUUAAUAACCUACCUAUAAGACUGGGAUAACUUCGUGAAACCGGAGCUACUACCGGAUAAUCUUUUGUACCCCAUGUUUCCAAAGUGAAAGUCGGUCUUUCUUUCUCUUAUAGAUGCAUCCGCACUCAAUUAGAUAGUUGGUAAGGUAACGGCUUACCAAGACGACGAGGCAUAGCAGACCUGAGAGGGUAAGCAGCGACACUGGAACUGAGAAACGGUACAGACUGAUAAGGGAGGAAGAAGUAGCGAAUAUUAAGCAAUGGGAGAAAGCUUGAAGAAAAGAGGCCGCGUGAGUGAAGAAGGACAACGGAGAGUAAAACUCUGUGAAAAGAGAAGAAAAUAGGAGUAAGUAACAAUGCACAGAUAGACGAUAAAGAAUCAGAAAGCAAAGGCUAACUAGGUG